rnacentral:rRNA from 1 species
AGCGAACGCUGGCGGCAGGCCUAACACAUGCAAGUCGAACGAACCCUUCGGGGUUAGUGGCGGACGGGUGAGUAACACGUGGGAACGUGCCUUUAGGUUCGGAAUAACUCAGGGAAACUUGUGCUAAUACCGAAUGUGCCCUUCGGGGGAAAGAUUUAUCGCCUUUAGAGCGGCCCGCGUCUGAUUAGCUAGUUGGUGAGGUAAUGGCUCACCAAGGCUACGAUCAGUAGCUGGUCUGAGAGGAUGACCAGCCACAUUGGGACUGAGACACGGCCCAAACUCCUACGGGAGGCAGCAGUGGGGAAUCUUGCGCAUGGGCGAAAGCCUGACGCAGCCAUGCCGCGUGAAUGAUGAAGGUCUUAGGAUUGUAAAAUUCCUUCACCGGGGACGAUAAUGACGGUACCCGGAGAAGAAGCCCCGGCUAACUUCGUGCCAGCAGCCGCCGCCGUAA